UACGAAGGUCCCGAGCGUUAUCCGGAUUUAUUGGGUCUAAAGGGUGCGUAGGCGGGUUAUUAAGUCAGUGGUGAAAGCCUUCAGCUUAACUGAAGAACUGCCAUUGAUACUGAUGAUCUUGAGUAUGAUUGAGGUGGGCGGAAUGUGUCAUGUAGCGGUGAAAUGCUUAGAUAUGACACAGAACACCGAUUGCGAAGGCAGCUCACUAAGCCAUAACUGACGCUGAUGCACGAAAGCGUGGGGAGCAAACAGG
rnacentral:rRNA from 1 species